CGGAGAUCGGCUACUUAAAUCGGCGUGUGCAGCUUCCUAGCCCCUCCUCUGACAAUGGCGUCACCAUUUGUGGGUGUUCCCGUGGACCCCGGGGCACUUCUCGUACAGGCAGGGUUUUAUGGGACAGAACCGAUCCCUUGGCAUUGUCUGACGAUAUUCAGAUUUCAGACUUUAUUGUCAUUGUGCAAACAACGAAAUUGGGGUUCUUCAUGAGAGAUACAGAUUCUCAUCAGAGGGUGUUCGUUAUUUGAUCGUCCUUUUGGACCUUAUGUAGACAAUGAUUACUGUUG